GGGAUAUUUGAAACUCCAGUAACAAAAAUUGAGCUCAGUGAACCUUUGCAUGUUUUGGUAUGAGUUUAUUAAAUAACCACAGACUGUCAGGGUAUCAGCGUGGCAGGGGGCGUCCAUUUACAGCACGGACGAGUCUGAAGAGAGAAUAAGGUAAGAUUUAUGUUUUUUUUUUUCCUGUCCUUUCCUCUUCAUUAUUUCACUACUUUCUUAAAUCUUUUUAGAUUCACUUCAUUUUUUCUUUCUCCAGUCUUUGUGUUAAAAAAAUAUAUAUGUGUGUGUGUGUGUAUCUACUUACUGCAUAUAUAUUAUAUAAUCUUUUAGAAUUGUGUUUAGUAUGGACCAGAUUCACUUACUUUUUCAUUUACUUAGAAGAAAACUUUUGAAAUGAGUUCUGAAACAAAUUAUUAUUUA
rnacentral:lncRNA from 1 species